ensembl:lncRNA
GUAAGUGAUCUCCAGGUUCUACAAUGACUUUGAUUGUGUUGCUCCCCCUGCCUUGCAUGAUGGUUAAUUUUGUGUAUCAACUUGACUGGGCUUGGAGAUGCUCAGAUAGCUGGUGAAAUAUUAUUUUUGGGUGUAUCUGUGAGGGUGUUUCUGGAAGAGAUAGUAUUUGAAUUGGUGAACUGAGUAAAGCAGAUGGCUCUACCCAAUGUGGGUGAGCAUCAUCCACUCCUGUGAGGACUCAAAUAGAACAAAACUGCAGUGGAAGGGCAAAUUUGCUCUCUGUUGAGCUGGGAUCCCCAUUUUCUCCUGUCCUGCUUCUUUGGCUUUUGGACUUCUAGUGACUCACACCAUUGGCUUUCCUGCGUCUCCAGCUCGCACACGGCAGAUUGUGGGACUUCUAGGCCUCCAUAACCAUGCAGUGUAGUAGGAGCUGGACACAGAAGAGGAGCAAGACGUGGUACCUGCACUUAAGUAGUUCACAACCUGAUAAUGGAAUUGACAAGUACAGGAAUAAAUGCCAGAAUCAGGUGCUAAAAGCAGUGUAAAAAGAGAUAGGGAAGUAGGUGGGAGAAUGCCAGAAGACUUCAAAGAAUAAGCAACAUAUUAGUAGACUCUUUUUUUUCUUCUGCUUUUUCUCCCCAAGCCACCCAGUAUAUAGUGGUAUAUCUUAGUUGUGGGUCCUUCUAGUUGUGGUGUGUGGGACGCCGCCUCAACGUGGCCUGGUGAGCAGUGUCAUGUCCGUGCCCAGGAUCCAAACCAGUGAAACCCUGGGCCGCUGCAGUGGAGCCUGUGAACUUAACCACUCGGCCACCAGCCGGUACCCCCUAGGAGACUCUUAAAGCACAGAUAAAAUCUUAGCUGAAUUGGGCAUCCUGGGCAGGAUGGGAAAUCCAGAUGGAAGAAAGAGACUAAGUGAAGACCUGGAAAACAUGGCGGAUCCUGGUGCAACGGUGGCUAAUCCCGCCUCCCUGACUGUGGUGUGUGAGGCCGAGUGGAGGCGCAGUCGCUGAGAGAGGGAGAACGGGAAAGCACGGCCACCUGGUGUUUCGCUCCCCUGCGUUUCUGUCUCAGGCCUGGUGGAUUUCAGGCAGCUGUCCUGCAGAAGUUGUUUCACAAACCGAUUCAUGCUAAGGUGACUUGACAGAGAAAGUCUUAACGCGCUACUGUUUCUGUGGAAAUCUACAUCUUAAAAGGGAAAAGUUUAAGAACACAAUGAUUUACUUGACAGGAUUCCCCUGGUGGAUUUUAUACCCUGAGCGAGGGGCGUAGGAGCAACGUCCUUUUGGCCAGGGAACACUGUUGGAGAACAUAACCCGGUAAUCGCAGUGGGGAGAGGAAAUUUGGACACAGACGUGAUACGGAGGGAAGAUGAUGUGAAGACACAUGGAGAAGAUGCCACCUACAAGCCAAGGAGAAAGGCCUGAACAGAUCCUUCUUUCAUGCCCUUCAGAGGGAACCAACCCUGCUGACACCUUGAUCUUGGACUUCCAGCCUCCAGAGUUGUGAGACAAUACAUUUCUGUUGUUUAAGCCCCCUGUCUGUGGUACAUUGUUAUGGCAGGCCUGGCAACCAAUACAGUACUCUAGUGGACAUUUCCUACGAAUGAGGACACUUCCCUACAUGGCCAACCAUGCAAGAUCAAAACCAGGAAAUUGACACUGUUUCCAAAGGCAUGAGGAGGAGAGGGUGAAAAGAUGAGAACCAAGAGGAGUAAAAGCAAGGAAUGGGGAGGAGAGAGAGCAAGAGAGUCCUCUUUUGGACCUGGCUUUCUGACUGGGCCAGCCUCUAUACCUGAUGCAGGAAGAAAGGAGCCAGCUUCUCAGGCUGCCGCAGGCCCAGGGACGCAUCUUCCUGAAGACACUGCAAGCUUGAGGCCUUCGAACCGCGGCUCUCGGGACUGAGCCAUCAGUACCUGCGAAGUUUUGUCUCUGGGACUUCGAUAGCACCUCCAGUCAGACAUGUUAAAAAACAAAAUAACAAAAGCCAAGCAAACCCCACACCACCCGGAGGUUGUAUACAAGUCUCAAAUUUCUGAUCUGCCGUACAUCCAGAAGUGACGUCAAACGUCAUUUUACAAACGCUUUAUCCAUUUCUCAAUUAGGAGUUCUCAAAGAUGUCGAGACCAAGAGUAUCUGAAUAAUACAAAAACCCCACUUCCUUUCACUAUUUUUCCUUUCCUCAGGUAGAAAAACAAAUCGUUAUGAGAAUGACUGGGAGAAGUCAGUGGGGUGAGGCUUGGCCUUUAUUAAGUAGCAGAACUGAAUUAUUAAUUCAUGUGAGGAAUGAAAGUACAGUCUCUUAUACCCUAAAUGUUUGGACCUCAAAGCCCAGCCCACACGUUUCCUGCGAGGAACACUGGCUACACGAUUUGUAGGGCCCGGUGCAAAAUGAAAAUGAGGCACCCCUUGCUUAAAAUUGUUCAGAAUUUAAGACAUCAACAGCAGAGCUUUCAAACCCAGUGCACGGCCCGCUGGAGUGAGGAGCCCUGGGUGGACGUCCGUGGAGCUGGCCCGCUUGGGAGCGGUGACCAGCAUUUGAGCCCUGGGAGAAAGGGAAAGGUAAACCUUCUACUCUACCAGUGGAUGCCCAAGAAAGAAGCAACCUUGUGCACCAGGUCACACCAAAGAAGGCUGGGGUCAGACCACCACUCCCAAUGCACCCCCUUCAUGUCUGUGUUUGGAAUAAGAACUCCAGCCCCCACCCACUGAACCAGUGUCUGUGUCACCAGUGGAUGAGACCCAAUUUCUGGAAUAAAGAGGAAAGGAUCUGUGUCAGAGGUUUGUCACCUCCUUUUUUAAUACACUUGAAUUUUUAGAGCAGUUUUAGGUUUGCAGCAAAGUUGAGAGGAAGGUGCAGAGAUUUCCCAUAGACCUCUUGCCUACACACAUGCAUAGUCUCCCCCAUUAUCAACAUCCUCCAGCAGAGCGGUCCAUUUGUUACAAUUGAUGAACUUAUAUUGACACGUCAUUAACACCCAGACUCCAUGGUUUACGUUAGGGUCAUGCUUGGUGUUGUCCAUUCUGCAGGUUUGGACAAAUAUAUGAUGUCACGUGUCCAUCAUUACAGUAUCAUACAGAACAGUUUCACUGCCCAAAAUCCUCUGCUCUGCCUGGUUAUCCUUCCUUCCUCCUAAUGAUACUUCAGCUAUUUUUUGGUGCCAUGGACUCCUUUGUCAGUCUGGUGAAGUCUUUGGUCAUCUUUCCAAAAUAAGAUUUUUAAUGCAUAAAAUACAAUAAUAACUCAAGUACAAAAGGAAGUCAUACACUAAAUAAAGUUAUGAAAACAUUAAAAAACAAAAUCAUGCUGGUAAUCCGUUUGCCCCUUUAUUAGC